rnacentral:rRNA from 1 species
AUUGAACGCUGGCGGCAUGCCUUACACAUGCAAGUCGAACGGUAGCGGACCUUCGGGUGCCGACGAGUGGCGAACGGGUGAGUAAUGUAUCGGAACGUACCUUUCAGUGGGGGAUAACGUAGCGAAAGUUGCGCUAAUACCGCAUAUUCUGUGAGCAGGAAAGCAGGGGAUCGCAAGACCUUGCGCUGAUUGAGCGGCCGAUAUCAGAUUAGCUAGUUGGUGAGGUAAAGGCUCACCAAGGCGACGAUCUGUAGCGGGUCUGAGAGGAUGAGCCGCCACACUGGAACUGAGACACGGUCCAGACUCCUACGGGAGGCAGCAGUGGGGAAUUUUGGACAAUGGGGGCAACCCUGAUCCAGCCAUGCCGCGUGAGUGAAGAAGGCCUUCGGGUUGUAAAGCUCUUUCGGCCGGGAAGAAAUCGUAUCAGCUAAUACCUGGUGCGGAUGACGGUACCGGAAUAAGAAGCACCGGCUAACUACGUGCCAGCCGCCGCCGUAACAC